rnacentral:rRNA from 1 species
UACGGGGGGAGCAAGCGUUGUUCGGAUUUACUGGGCGUAAAGGGCGCGUAGGCGGCGCAACAAGUCACUUGUGAAAUCUCCGGGCUUAACCCGGAGCGGUCAAGUGAUACUGUCGUGCUAGAGUGCGGAAGGGGCUACUGGAAUUCUCGGUGUAGCGGUGAAAUGCGUAGAGAUCCGGAGGAACACCAGUGGCGAAGGCGACACGCUGGGCCGUACCUGACACUGAUGCGCGACAGCAUGGGGAGCAAACAGG